rnacentral:rRNA from 1 species
GAUGAACGCUGGCGGCGUGCCUAAUACAUGCAAGUCGAGCGAACAGACGAGGCUCUUGCUCCUUUGACGUUAGCGGCGGACGGGUGAGUAACAUGUAGGUAACCUACCUAUAAGACUGGGAUAACUUCGGGAAACCGGAGCUAAUACCGGAUAAUAUUUUGAACCGCAUUGUUCGAUAGUGAAAGAUGGCUUUGCUAUCACUUAUAGAUGGACCUGCGCCGUAUUAGCUAGUUGGUAAGGUAACGGCUUACCAAGGCAACGAUACGUAGCCGACCUGAGAGGGUGAUCGGCCACACUGGAACUGAGACACGGUCCAGACGCCUACGGGAGGCAGCAGUAGGGAAUCUGACGCAAUGGGCGAGAGCCUGACGGAGCAACGCCGCGUGAGUGAUGAAGGCCUUCGGAUCGUAAAACUCUGUUAUUAGGGAAGAACAAACGUGUAAGUAACUGUGCACGUCUUGACGGUACCUAAUCAGAAAGCCACGGCUAACUACGUG